rnacentral:rRNA from 1 species
GACGUAGGUGGCGAACGUUAUCCGGAAUUAUUGGGCGUAAAGGGUGCGUAGGCGGCAUGAUAAGUUAUUGGCGGGAAAUCGAGGCUCAACCUCGUGGAAACUAAUAAUACUGUUUUGCUUGAGUACAGGAGAGGUUAACGGAACUCCAUGUGGAGCGGUAAAAUGUGUAGAUAUAUGGAAGAACAUCAUUAACGGCGAAGGCAGUUAACUAUUCUGUUACUGACGUUGAGGCACGAAAGCGUGGGGAGCAAAACGG